UGUCCCUCGGGUCCUCCGGUGGCCUAGGGUAGCUGCCGCCUUGGGAACCCCAUUUAUUUGCCCCCCCGUCUCCCUCCCCACGGGGGCAGGGCCCGGGUCUCUGCAUCUCCCGCCUCUAUAACCCGGCCCCGGAGAACCGGGGCGGGGGGCGGGGGGGGCAGACUAGGAAGUGCUCGCACGCUCGCACGGCCCUGCUCGCCCGACCACACACAGAUGGUGAUGCUCUUUUCCCCCAGACUACCGAUAAUUCUGGCUGGAGCAAAACCUGAGGAAUGAGAUUUUUCUCCUAUGCUUCGGACUGCAUUUGUCAAUUCGGAGAAAUUGAGGGAACUGGGGGAAGGGGUACAGAAUGAUGAAAAAUGUCCCGGAGGGAUGAAAUGGUGGCUGCACAACUCAAUAUACUAUGUCUCUGAGCUUUACACUCAAAAUGGUUAAAAUGAUAAAUUUUAUUAUGUAUAGUUUGCCACAGUUCAAUAAAAAUCCAGAAUUUCCCCCCA